UACGUAGGGUGCGAGCGUUAAUCGGAAUUACUGGGCGUAAAGCGUGCGCGGGCGGCUCUUCAAGUCAGAUGUGAAAGCCCCGGGCUUAACCUGGGAAUGGCGUUUGAAACUGGAGGGCUGGAGUGUGGCAGAGGGAGGUGGAAUUCCACGUGUAGCAGUGAAAUGCGUAGAGAUGUGGAGGAACACCGAUGGCGAAGGCAGCCUCCUGGGCCAACACUGACGCUCAUGAACGAAAGCGUGGGGAGCAAACAGG
rnacentral:rRNA from 1 species